rnacentral:tmRNA from 1 species
GGGAGUGUCCAGCUUUGACAGGAGAUCUUUAGCAAAAUAUGCAAACCGAGUAUUCUCAAACCUCGUUAAACUUUGAGAAACAUAAUAAGUGUCAACUUAUUUAACAAACCAGCAUUAGCAUACGCUUAAUGCUCAUCCUUGGCGAAGAUUCCUAAUAAUCGCUAAAGGGUGUCAAACAUUAGGAUAGUUAAUUCUUCUCCUCAAAGAAUUGACGAACUAAAAGAGGAUAGGGCAUUGGAAUUUUUGUCUGUUUAUCUUCCAGCGCUCGAACAAACAAACAGUCUAAGUUUGUAGAAAUAUCUUGUAAAAACUUCUGGACGGGAGUUCAAUUCUCCCCACUUCCACAA